rnacentral:rRNA from 1 species
AUACGUAGGGGGCGAGCGUUGUCCGGAAUGAUUGGGCGUAAAGGGCGCGUAGGCGGCCCGGUAAGUCUGGAGUGAAAGUCCUGUUUUUAAGAUGGGAAUUGCUUUGGAUACUGUCGGGCUUGAGUGCAGGAGAGGUAAGUGGAAUUCCCAGUGUAGCGGUGAAAUGCGUAGAGAUUGGGAGGAACACCAGUGGCGAAGGCGACUUACUGGACUGUAACUGACGCUGAGGCGCGAAAGUGUGAGGAGGAAACAGGAUUAGAUACCCUGGUAGUCCACACUGUAAACGAUGAAUGCUAGGUGUAAGAGGUAUCGACCCCUUUUGUGCCGGAGUCAACACAAUAAGCAUUCCGCCUGGGGAGUACGGCCGCAAGGUUGAAACUCAAAGGAAUUGGCGGGG